AAGGAGGAAGCUGCUGGCUCAUGAAGGCUGUCAUCCAGGACUUUCCCAAGAGAGAGGAUGCAGAACAAUUUUCUAAAUGUCUCAGGAUAACUGGAGACAUUUAGGAUAACCCACUUUCCAAGUUUUUAAUGAGCAGGACACAUAUUUAGUCUUUUUUUUUUUUUUUUAAAGAUAUUUAUUUAUUUGGCUCCAUCAAGUCUUAGCUGCAGUGCAUGACCUUAGUUGCUCUGUGGCACGUGGGACCUUACUUCCUCGACCAGGGAUCAAACACACAUCCCCUGCAUUGAAAGGCAGAUUCGCAACCACUGGGCCGCCAGGGAAGUCCCAACAUAUCUACUCUUUAAAUGAUUUGGUGCUGUACUUCCUACACUUUCUCUAACCAUACCACAUGUAGAACAGAAUAUUGUUGAACAGAAUAUUUCUAAGGCAAGUAGACAAGGCUACUUCUAGCCAGAGGAAGCUACUAGUCCAGGGGCUCUGGCUGCCCCAGUACCUGGGGGAUUGUGUAUCUCAGUCAACCUGUAACCAACCAAGACCUGCCAAAGUGCACCAACCAAGUGGCUGGGAAGCUCUGGUAGGAGUACACAGAUUGGGCUCAUUGAAGACUGUCAGACUGCCAUUCAUUUAUUUUACAUUUGCCCCUUAAACACUACUGAUCAACUGUCCUUCAUCAGGCACCAGGUCCUGUGGAUGGAUACUGGGAGGGGCAAAAGCAGAUACACGUCAUCCCUGGCCUCGUGGAACUGAUGAAGACGUGGAGCAUACAGGUGAAGACACCAAGAUCUGCAGGUCACAUUGUGACUGACGAGACUCUAAUGCCACUUUCACUAUGAAGAAACUGAGGCACAAAGAAUUUGCCCCAAAUGACCCACUCAACAAGCGUCAGAGGUGGAAUUUCAACCUGCAAACCUAAGCUGACUAGAUCCUGCGUACUUUACCUGCCCUCUUCUGCUUCAACAGAUGUGGCCUCUGCCUUGGCGCAACCAGGGGACAGCAUGGUGUUGAGGGAUGGAAAGGCUGCAGCUGUUGCCAAAAGGGGCCAUGAGAGAACGCAGAAUUCAAAUCGUUUUUUCCCAGGGCUGCUCCUGACUUGACAGUUUGUUCAUAGGCCCUCAGUUUUUAAAACGUCUGUGGCUGAACAAAUGCUCAAACUCUGGCUCCCCUGCCCUCAAUUAGCAGCAGUCCUUGGGACCAGCAGGUGACUCCAGAUAACUGCUCCCGGUCAGGUCUGACAAGGUCUUGGACCUGCUGGAGACGUGUAGAGGGGAGCAAUCUUCUGAACAAGCUCCCCCGCUGGCCCCAUCUCUCCUCCUCCCUGUCUCUUUCCGGCUCUGUAUCUCCUUCCCUUCGAUUGCCUCAGGAAAAGGAAAGAAGAAAUGUUUUCUAAAAAAAAGUUUAAUGAAACCAAACGCUUGUAUUUCCAUCUAUUGACUUUGGAUUUGUGCUUCUCCGGCCCAGCCAUUUGGGACAAG